rnacentral:rRNA from 1 species
UACGUAGGUGGCGAGCGUUGUCCGGAUUUACUGGGCGUAAAGAGCGCGCAGGCGGUCGUUCAAGUCGGGUGUGAAAGCCCCCGGCUCAACUGGGGAGGGUCACGCGAUACUGAUCGACUCGAAGGCAGGAGAGGGAAGUGGAAUUCCCGGUGUAGUGGUGAAAUGCGUAGAUAUCGGGAGGAACACCAGUGGCGAAGGCGACUUCCUGGCCUGUUCUUGACGCUGAGGCGCGAAAGCUAGGGGAGCAAACGGG